rnacentral:lncRNA from 1 species
AUGGACCAUUUGGCUCACAGACAGAAGAGUAAUUUGGGAAAUCAUUUGAUUUGCCUAUCGCAGUCCAAAUACACUCCGGGUUCUUCAGCCGAACUUACAAAACGCUCCCUGACCUCCCCUCUCUCUGCCUCCUCUUCCUCGUCUCUUUCCACAGCUCCACGUUGCUCCCUGGACUUUGGGUUUCCUUGUGACUGGUUCUCGCCCUCCUCCGUUAAUAGAGCGUUGCAUUUUGCUAGACCAGGCUUUCUUUAUUUCUGGGAUGAUUCUUCCUCAGCCUUAAGGAAUUACCUCUUCCAGGAAGCCUUUUCUAAGUAUAGCAGGUGCCUUUGCUUCCGCGUCAUAGUUCUUAUCACACUCCGCUCUCUGCCACCGUCAAUUCUACUUCAGGAAGAUACUCCUCUUAAGAGUGGAAAAUGGCACGGAAAUGGGUUGGCAUUGAUAACUGUUGUUGGCAGACAUCACCUCUCACAGCUUUUCGCCUUGUCAAAGGAUGCCUCGUUCCCAAGGGAGUUCUGUAAGAGCAAAGCAAACGACCUGUAG